CCUACGGGAGGCAGUAGUGGGGAAUAUUGCGCAAUGGGCGAAAGCCUGACGCAGCGACGCCGCGUGAGGGAUGAAGGUCUUCGGAUCGUAAACCUCUGUCAGCAGGGAAGAACGGUCACUGUGCUAAUCAGCAGUGAAUUGACGGUACCUGCACAGGAAGCACCGGCUAACUCCGUGCAAGCAGCCGCGGUAAUACGGAGGGUGCGAGCGUUAAUCGGAAUUACUGGGCGUAAAGCGCUCGUAGGCGGUAUGUCAAGUCAAGGGUGAAAUCCCCGCGCUCAACGUGGGAACUGCCUUUGAAACUGGCAGACUGGAGUGUGUGAGCGGCUAGUGGAAUUCCAGGUGUAGGAGUGAAAUCCGUAGAUAUCUGGAGGAACAUCAGUGGCGAAGGCGACUAUCUGGCACAUAACUGACGCGGAGGAGCGAAGGCGAGGGUAGCGAACAGGAUUAGAUACCCCGGUAGUC
rnacentral:rRNA from 1 species